rnacentral:rRNA from 1 species
UACGUAGGUGGCAAGCGUUGUCCGGAAUUAUUGGGCGUAAAGCGCGCGCAGGUGGUUCCUUAAGUCUGAUGUGAAAGCCCCCGGCUCAACCGGGGAGGGUCAUUGGAAACUGGGGAACUUGAGUGCAGAAGAGGAAAGUGGAAUUCCACGUGUAGCGGUGAAAUGCGUAGAGAUGUGGAGGAACACCAGUGGCGAAGGCGACUUUCUGGUCUGUAACUGACACUGAGGCGCGAAAGCGUGGGGAGCGAACAGG